AAUGAUCAGGAUGAGAUGGUUUGGCUUUUUUUCCACGCCGUCCACUCUCCUGUUCCCUCU
rnacentral:pre_miRNA from 1 species